rnacentral:lncRNA from 1 species
UUCUUUUUCUUUUCUUUUCUCUCGAGCUCCUUCUUGGCCGAAACAGGGGACGCGAUCCCCCCUUCUUUCCCAUCCAAAUCCCCCACGGGAUCUCGCUGAAACGACGGGAGGGGAGGUCCAACCUGAGGCGGCGCAACCGUGACACCCGGUCUGGGUGCUCGCUGGUGGCAGACGGCAUCGGAAAAACCCAAAAAAAUCC